UCAAGCGGGCUUAGGAGAGAUUGAGAUUCUAUUCUUCGGGAAGGGAAGUUGUUACGAAAGGUUCUCAGUCUUUCGACUUCCUCAUCCAUAUGAGGACCGGUUUUUUUUGUUCUGGCUUGUAAGGAAGUUGUUACGAAAGGUUCUCAGUCUUUCGACUUCCUCAUCCAUAUGAGGACCGGUUUUUUUUGUUCUGGCUUGUAGCUUGAUAAAGGGCGG
rnacentral:lncRNA from 1 species